GGUGGCGGCUGCUCCGGCGGUCGUGGGCAGCGGCGGAGGUGUCGGGAGGAUGUAGCGGAGAGUGGCUCGUCCGGGGGUGAAGUUGGUGAGGGUCGGUGAUGAUAAACGGCGACGGAAUGAAGUGAUGAAGCUUGGUGCUCCUGGUGCUCCUGCGAAGAUGGCGAGGUUGGUACGCCUUCUGUAGGCGGAGAGGAGAUGCAAGACCUUGUCAAAACGAAAAUAGGGAUCGAGAGUCGUCGAAACACAAAAGAGAAGGCUCGGGAUGGCUCACCGGAGUGGGAAAAUUGCCAUGAACUGCGGCGUCUUCGGCUAGAUUGAAACGACGGGUACGAGCUAUAGGUGU
rnacentral:lncRNA from 1 species